AGGUGCCAUGGAAGAUUUCGCCCCUGAUCCCAAUCAUCCAGGUCCUCCUCCUGAAACUGGCAUCCAAGGUGGCGUGGAAGAUUUCGCCCCUACUCCCAAUCAUCCAGGUCCUCCUCCUGAAACUGGCAUCCAAGGUAAACACAUUCCAUCUGAGAGGAGGCGCUGUGUUAAGAGACCGUGGUCAGACACUGAAGCAAAGGCUGUGAUGAGGCACAUGGAGCCAUACGUUCGCAACGGACUUCUCGUCACGAGCGCUCAAUGUGCCAUGUGCAAAAAAAAGAA